rnacentral:rRNA from 1 species
UACGUAGGGUGCAAGCGUUGUCCGGAAUUAUUGGGCGUAAAGAGCUCGUAGGCGGUCUGUCACGUCGGCUGUGAAAACCCGAGGCUCAACCUCGGGCCUGCAGUCGAUACGGGCAAACUAGAGUACUGCAGGGGAGACUGGAAUUCCUGGUGUAGCGGUGAAAUGCGCAGAUAUCAGGAGGAACACCGGUGGCGAAGGCGGGUCUCUGGGCAGUAACUGACGUGAGGAGCGAAAAGCGUGGGGGAGCGAACAGG